rnacentral:rRNA from 1 species
UUCCAGACUCCUACGGGAGGCAGCAGUGGGGAAUAUUGCACAAUGGGGGAAACCCUGAUGCAGCGACGCCGCGUGAGUGAAGAAGUAUUUCGGUAUGUAAAGCCCUAUCAGCAGGGAAGAAAUAGCGACCUUUGGGUCGCCAGACGGUACCUGACUAAGAAGCCCCGGCUAACUACGUGCCAGCAGCCGCGGUAAUACGUAGGGGGCAAGCGUUAUCCGGAUUUACUGGGUGUAAAGGGAGCGUAGACGGCAGCACAAGUCUGAAGUGAAAUGCCGGGGCUUAACCCCGGAACUGCUUUGGAAACUGUGCAGCUAGAGUGCAGGAGAGGUAAGUGGAAUUCCUAGUGUAGCGGUGAAAUGCGUAGAUAUUAGGAGGAACACCAGUGGCGAAGGCGACUUUCUGGACUGUACCUGACGCUGAGGCGCGAAAGCGUGGGUAGCGAACGGGAUUAGAUACCCGUGUAC